rnacentral:rRNA from 1 species
UACAGAGGUGGCAAGCGUUGUUCGGAAUUACUGGGCGUAAAGGGCGCGUAGGCGGUCUUUUAAGUCUUGUGUGAAAUCCCUCGGCUCAACUGAGGAACUGCACGGGAUACUGGUUGGCUUGAGUUUGGGAGAGGGAAGCGGAAUUCCGGGUGUAGCGGUGAAAUGCGUAGAUAUCCGGAGGAACACCGGUGGCGAAGGCGGCUUCCUGGACCGACACUGACGCUGAGGUGCGAAAGCGUGGGGAUCAAACAGG